CGGACGGGUGAGUAACGCGUGAGAAUCUGCCCUCAGGAGGGGGAUAACGGCCGGAAACGGCCGCUAAUACCCCAUAUGCCGAGAGGUGAAAUGAAUUUCGCCUGAGGAUGAGCCCGCGUCUGAUUAGCUAGUUGGUGUGGUAAUGGCGCACCAAGGCUUCGAUCAGUAGCUGGUCUGAGAGGAUGAUCAGCCACACUGGGACUGAGACACGGCCCAGACUCCUACGGGAGGCAGCAGUGGGGAAUUUUCCGCAAUGGGCGCAAGCCUGACGGAGCAACGCCGCGUGAGGGACGAAGGCCUCUGGGCUGUAAACCUCUUUUCUCAAGGAAGAAGACAUGACGGUACUUGAGGAAUAAGCCACGGCUAAUUCCGUGCCAGCAGCCGCGGUAAUACGGGAGUGGCAAGCGUUAUCCGGAAUUAUUGGGCGUAAAGCGUCCGCAGGCGGCCCAGCAAGUCUGUUGUUAAAAAGUGGAGCUUAACUCCAUCCAGGCAAUGGAAACUGCUGGGCUAGAGUGUGGUAGGGGCAGAGGGAAUUCCCGGUGUAGCGGUGAAAUGCGUAGAUAUCGGGAAGAACACCAGUGGCGAAGGCGCUCUGCUGGGCCAUAACUGACGCUCAUGGACGAAAGCCAGGGGAGCGAAAGGGAUUAGAUACCCCUGUAGUCCUAGCCGUAAACGAUGAACACUAGGUGUCGGGGGAAUCGACCCCCUCGGUGUCGUAGCCAACGCGUUAAGUGUUCCGCCUGGGGAGUACGCACGCAAGUGUGAAACUCAAAGGAAUUGACGGGGGCCCGCACAAGCGGUGGAGUAUGUGGUUUAAUUCGAUGCAACGCGAAGAACCUUACCAGGGUUUGACAUCCUGCGAAUCCCUUGGAAACUUGGGAGUGCCUUCGGGAGCGCAGUGACAGGUGGUGCAUGGCUGUCGUCAGCUCGUGUCGUGAGAUGUUGGGUUAAGUCCCGCAACGAGCGCAACCCACGUCUUUAGUUGCCAGCAUUUAGUUGGGCACUCUAGAGAGACCGCCGGUGAUAAACCGGAGGAAGGUGUGGAUGACGUCAAGUCAUCAUGCCCCUUACAUCCUGGGCUACACACGUACUACAAUGCUACGGACAAAGGGCAGCAAACUCGCGAGAGCUAGCAAAUCCCAUAAACCGUGGCUCAGUUCAGAUCGUAGGCUGCAACUCGCCUACGUGAAGGAGGAAUCGCU
rnacentral:rRNA from 1 species